rnacentral:piRNA from 1 species
GAAGAGAGAGGAAAUGUGUGCAGAGA